UACGGGGGGGGCAAGCGUUGUUCGGAUUUACUGGGCGUAAAGGGCGCGUAGGCGGCGCAACAAGUCACUUGUGAAAUCUCCGGGCUUAACUCGGAGCGGCCAAGUGAUACUGUCGUGCUAGAGUGCGGAAGGGGCAACUGGAAUUCUCGGUGUAGCGGUGAAAUGCGUAGAUAUCGAGAGGAACACCUGCGGCGAAGGCGGGUUGCUGGGCCGACACUGACGCUGAGGCGCGAAAGCUAGGGGAGCGAACGGG
rnacentral:rRNA from 1 species